rnacentral:rRNA from 1 species
AUUGAACGCUGGCGGCAGGCCUAACACAUGCAAGUCGAGCGGCAGCGACUUAACUGAACCUUCGGGGAACGUUAAGGGCGGCGAGCGGCGGACGGGUGAGUAAUGCCUGGGAAUAUACCCUGAUGUGGGGGAUAACUAUUGGAAACGAUAGCUAAUACCGCAUAAUCUCUUCGGAGCAAAGAGGGGGACCUUCGGGCCUCUCGCGUCAGGAUUAGCCCAGGUGGGAUUAGCUUGUUGGUGAGGUAAUGGCUCACCAAGGCAACGAUCCCUAGCUGGUCUGAGAGGAUGAUCAGCCACACUGGAACUGAGACACGGUCCAGACUCCUACGGGAGGCAGCAGUGGGGAAUAUUGCACAAUGGGGGAAACCCUGAUGCAGCCAUGCCGCGUGUGUGAAGAAGGCCUUCGGGUUGUAAAGCACUUUCAGUAGGGAGGAAGGUAGUGUAGUUAACACCUGCAUUAUUUGACGUUACCUACAGAAGAAGCACCGGCUAACUCCGUGCCAGCAGCCGCGGUAAUACGGAGGGUGCGAGCGUUAAUCGGAAUUACUGGGCGUAAAGCGCAUGCAGGCGGCCUGUUAAGUCAGAUGUGAAAGCCCGGGGCUUAACCUCGGAAUUGCAUUUGAAACUGGUAGGCUAGAGUCUUGUAGAGGGGGGUAGAAUUUCAGGUGUAGCGGUGAAAUGCGUAGAGAUCUGAAGGAAUACCAGUGGCGAAAGCGGCCCCCUGGACAAAGACUGACGCUCAGAUGCGAAAGCGUGGGGAGCAAACAGG